AUAUAGGGUGAGGCGUGAUGCAUAGCCGAAUGAGGCGAAGUAGAGUGAUCCCAUGCUGCCGAGAAAAGCCUCUAGCGAGUGUCCGUGCGGCCCGUACCCCAAACCGACACAGGUGGUCAGGUAGAGAAUACCGAGGCGUUCGGGUGAACUGUGGUCAAGGAACUCGGCAAAAUGCCCCCGUAACUUCGGGAGAAGGGGGGCCGUUGGGUUUGAAGCCCUUCGCGGGCUAGGAUCCGGCGGCCGCAGAGACCAGCGAGAAGCGACUGUUUACUAAAAACACAGGUCCGUGCGAAGUCGCAAGACGAUGUAUACGGACUGACGCCUGCCCGGUGCUGGAACGUUAAGAGGACGGGUUAGCUCUUCGGGGCGAAGCUCAGAAUUUAAGCGCCAGUAAACGGCGGUGGUAACUAUAACCAUCCUAAGGUAGCGAAAUUCCUUGUCGGGUAAGUUCCGACCUGCACGAAUGGCGUAACGACUUCUCGACUGUCUCGACCACAGGCCCGGCGAAAUUGCAUUACGAGUAAAGAUGCUCGUUACGCGCGGCAGGACGGAAAGACCCCGGGACCUUUACUAUAGCUUGGUAUUGGUGCUUGGUUCGGCUUGUGUAGGAUAGGUGGGAGACUGUGAAGCGUUCACGCCAGUGGAUGUGGAGUCAUUGUUGAAAUACCACUCUGGUCGUACUGAGUGUCUAACCUCGGACCGUGAUCCGGUUCAGGGACAGUGCCUGGUGGGUAGUUUAACUGGGGCGGUUGCCUCCCAAAGGGUAACGGAGGCGCCCAAAGGUUCCCUCAGCCUGGUUGGCAAUCAGGUGUUGAGUGCAAGUGCACAAGGGGGCUUGACUGUGAGACUGACAGGUCGAGCAGGGACGAAAGUCGGGACUAGUGAUCCGGCACUGGCUGGUGGAAGCGGUGUCGCUCAACGGAUAAAAGGUACCCCGGGGAUAACAGGCUGAUCUUGCCCAAGAGUCCAUAUCGACGGCAUGGUUUGGCACCUCGAUGUCGGCUCGUCGCAUCCUGGGGCUGGAGUAGGUCCCAAGGGUUGGGCUGUUCGCCCAUUAAAGCGGUACGCGAGCUGGGUUUAGAACGUCGUGAGACAGUUCGGUCCCUAUCCGCCGCGCGCGUUGGAGACUUGAGGAAGGCUGUCCCUAGUACGAGAGGACCGGGACGGACGAACCUCUGGUGUGCCAGUUGUCCCGCCAGGGGCAUGGCUGGUUGGCUACGUUCGGAAGGGAUAACCGCUGAAGGCAUCUAAGCGGGAAGCUCGUUCCAAGAUGAGGUCUCCCUCCCCCUUCGAGGGGUUAAGGCCCCCAGCUAGACCACUGGGUUGAUAGGCCGGAGAUGGAAGCCUUGUAAGGGGUGGAGUCGACCGGUACUAAUAGGCCGAGGGCUUACAAC
rnacentral:rRNA from 1 species